CAGUCGCCGCGGGAAUACGGAGGGUGCAAGCGUUAAUCGGAAUUACUGGGCGUAAAGCGCACGCAGGCGGUCUGUCAAGUCGGAUGUGAAAUCCCCGGGCUCAACCUGGGAACUGCAUUCGAAACUGGCAGGCUAGAGUCUUGUAGAGGGGGGUAGAAUUCCAGGUGUAGCGGUGAAAUGCGUAGAGAUCUGGAGGAAUACCGGUGGCGAAGGCGGCCCCCUGGACAAAGACUGACGCUCAGGUGCGAAAGCGUGGGGAGCAAACAGGAUUAGAUACCCCAGUAGUCCCUGUCUCUUAUAC
rnacentral:rRNA from 1 species